AAUCAACGCUGGCGGCGUGCCUCAGACAUGCAAGUCGAACGCGAAAGUCCCCUUCGGGGGAUGAUUAGAGUGGCGUCCGGGUGAGUAACACGUGGGUAAUCUACCUUCGGGUGGGGAAUAACAGUCGGAAACGACUGCUAAUACCGCAUAAUGCAGCGGCACCUAAUGGUGACAGUUGUUAAAGCGGGGUUAGUCGCAAGACCCUCGCGCCUGAAGAGGAGCCCGCGGCGGANAGCUAGUUGGCAGGGUAACGGCCUACCAAGGCGACGAUCCGUAGCCGGCCUGAGAGGGCGGUCGGCCACGCUGGCACUGACAUACGGGCCAGACUCCUACGGGAGGCAGCAGUCGGGAA
rnacentral:rRNA from 1 species